rnacentral:rRNA from 1 species
AGGACGAACGCUGGCGGCGUGCUUAACACAUGCAAGUCGAGCGGUAAGGCUCCUUCGGGAGUACACGAGCGGCGAACGGGUGAGUAACACGUGAGCAAUCUGCCCUUCACACUGGGAUAACCCCGGGAAACCGGGGCUAAUACCGGAUGCGACCACCGACGGCAUCGUCUGGUGGUGGAAAGUUCCGGCGGUGGGGGAUGAGCUCGCGGCCUAUCAGCUUGUUGGUGGGGUAAUGGCCUACCAAGGCUUCGACGGGUAGCCGGCCUGAGAGGGUGACCGGCCACACUGGGACUGAGACACGGCCCAGACUCCUACGGGAGGCAGCAGUGGGGAAUAUUGGACAAUGGGCGAAAGCCUGAUCCAGCAACGCCGCGUGAGGGAUGACGGCCUUCGGGUUGUAAACCUCUUUCAGCAGGGACGAAGCGCAAGUGACGGUACCUGCAGAAGAAGCACCGGCCAACUACGUGCCAGCAGCCGC